rnacentral:rRNA from 1 species
GAUGAACGCUGGCGGCAUGCCUAAUACAUGCAAGUCGAACGAGAGGAAGGAAAGCUUGCUUUUCUGAAUCUAGUGGCGAACGGGUGAGUAACACGUAGGUAACCUGCCCAUGUGCCCGGGAUAACUUCUGGAAACGGAUGCUAAAACCGGAUAGGUAGCAGACAAGCAUUUGACUGCUAUUAAAGUGGCUAAGGCCAUGAACAUGGAUGGACCUGCGGUGCAUUAGCUAGUUGGUGAGGAAACGGCCCACCAAGGCGACGAUGCAUAGCCGGCCUGAGAGGGCGGAGGGACACAUUGGGACUGAGACACGGCCCAAACUCCUACGGGAGGCAGCAGUAGGGAAUUUUCGUCAAUGGGGGGAACCCUGAACGGGCAAUGCCGCGUGAGCGAGGAAGGUCUUCGGAUCGUAAAGCUCUGUUGUAAGAGAAAAACGACAUUCAUAGGGAAUGAUGAGUGAGUGAUGGUAUCUUACCAGAAAGUCACGGCUAACUACGUGCCAGCAGCCGCCGUAA